rnacentral:rRNA from 1 species
GUGGAUUAGAUACCCUGGUAGUCCUAGCCCUAAACGGUGCACGUUUGCUGUAAAAGGAAUCGACCCCUUUUGUGGCGAAGCUAACGCGUUAAACGUGCCGCCUGGGGAGUACGGUCGCAAGAUUAAAACUCAAAGAAAUUGACGGGGGCCUGCACAAGCGGUGGAGUAUGUGGCUUAAUUCGAUGCAACGCGAAGAACCUUACCUGGCCUUGACAUGCAAGUGGUAGAACCAUGAAAGUGGGACGAUCCCGCAAGGGAAGCUUGCACAGGUGCUGCAUGGUUGUCGCCAACU